AGAGUUUGAUCAUGGCUCAAGACGAACGCUGGCGGCGUGCUUAACACAUGCAAGUCGAACGGAAUCCAUGGUGUAGCAAUACACCGGAAGAUUUAGUGGCGAACGGGUGAGGAUCACGUGAGAAACCUGCCCCAGACUUUGGGAUAACAAUUGGAAACGAUUGCUAAUACCGAAUGACGUCGGAGAACCGCAUGGUUCACUGACGGAAGGAAAUCCGGUUUGGGAGGGUCUCGCGGCCUAUCAGCUUGUUGGUGGGGUAAUGGCCUACCAAGGCAACGACGGGUAGCUGGUCUGAGAGGAUGAUCAGCCACACUGGGACUGAGACACGGCCCAGACUCCUACGGGAGGCAGCAGUGGGGAAUCUUGCGCAAUGGGCGAAAGCCUGACGCAGCAACGCCGCGUGCGGGAUGAAGGCCUUCGGGCUGUAAACCGCUUUCAGCAGGAACGAAAAUGACGGUACCUGCAGAAGAAGGAGCGGCCAACUACGUGCCAGCAGCCGCGGUGACACGUAGGCUCCAAGCGUUGUCCGGAUUUAUUGGGCGUAAAGAGCUCGUAGGCGGUUUAGUAAGUCGGGUGUUAAAACUCUGGGCUCAACCAGGAGAGGCCAUCCGAUACUGCUGUGACUUGAGUUCAGGAGGGGAGCGGGGAAUUCCUAGUGUAGCGGUGA
rnacentral:rRNA from 1 species